ACUCACUUCCUGUCCAGACAGGAAACAGGAAGUAUAUAGCAAGGCCUUGCCAAAUGCCUGGAGACACCUGCUCCCUUUUAAGUUACUUUAUUGACGCUUGGACUCAAUGAAUCCAUAACAGAAUCGUCUAUUGCAAAUGGAGAUAUGAUGGCAGGAUGGCUGCAGUUGCAUAAAACAAAGGCCUGAAGAAGAGGACAGCAGGCUCCUAUCAUCGGAAGCUUGGCUCUAAUCUGCCUGCCCAUGAGGUGCUGCUGAUGGUGGUACUGGAGGUCGGUAGGAGAACGAGUGGUGGUGGGGGGUGUCUGUGGCAUCCUGCGUCAGGACUGUGGCCCAAUCCAUCUGUCUUCAUCAGUGAGGAGGGGGUGUGUGUUGGCCGGGGCCUGCAGCAACCCGCUAAGCACCAGCUGCUAACUGCCUUUCACACUGAUACCCAUCGAGCGGACAUAUUUACAGUAGAGGCCGACCGGAGGCUCUGCUGGUAGAUUUCCACUAUGCUCAUACAUUGGUAAUGUGUAAUAGUAACAGGUACAACGUGGAAAGGAAAGUCGAGCGCGCACACAACCACACAAGCUAACUCAGCUAGCUUCCAUUCACGCUCUGUAGUAAGUGUUUGUUGUUUGUUUAAUUGUUCCGUGUUUAUAAUGAUUUUGUGCCACCACUGAGCAGUCUGCCACGUAAAUACUUCAACACAAGAAUGUUCCUUUUCCUCAUGAUGACCGCAUUUCAUUCUUGUAUAUCCGUUGCGGCUUGUUUACGUUUUAGCAUUCAUACGGGGACAUAAAAAGUAUCGCCCAACCCAACUUUUAGAGUUUGAAUUGCUUGUGAAUUAGUAGUUCUUCACUGGUUUUAUUUGAUUAUUUCUUAAAACAUAAUUUUCACAUAGUUUAUAUAAGGUUUAUCUUCUGUUUUUUCUGUUGUGUAGUGCGUUCGCUCUAUUGCGUGACAUACUAAUGUUAUGGCCACACGGGCAAAAAAUACAUUGACGAAAUUUCAAGAAAGAAAUUUCAUACGGUUGUAAAUCUACGAGAAAAAAGUUGUAAAUAAACGAGGAAAAAAAUCUGAAAUGACCUUUUGCCAAAGACCAGAGGUAACAUUAGUCCUUUCAAAAAAAAGGUUGUCAAUUAAUGGAAAAAAAGUCUAAAAUUUAUGAUUAAAAAAGUCGUAAUAUUACAAUUUCCCAAGACCAAAGGUAACAUAACAAUGGAAUAUUAAAGUAAUGAAGUCAUCUAUUUAUGAGAAUUUUUUUUUAAAUAUUCAGACUUUAUUCUUGUAAAUUUAUGACAACUCUUUUGUAUGAUUUUUUUCUCAUAAAUGUCAACAUUUAUUGUGGUAAUUUUGAGACUUUUUUCCUUAUAAAUUUCCGACUUUAUUCUUGAAAUCUCAGAAUAUUUUUUUUUCAAUGUCAUAAUAUUGUAAAUAAUACCGCUAGUCAAUAUAUGUACGUAGUACGUAAAUAUUUGGCAUUUUGUAUUGUUCAUGCUAUGUUUUGAAAUAGACUACAGACACAAAGUACCGAUAUAGCCAAUACCAGCCUGAAUUUGACUUGGUAUCGCACAUCACUCCUGGAACAGAUUUGAUGCAAGCUGCUCCUGUGCAUGGCCAGACACUAAUUGCCCUCUUAUACGCUGUUGCCUUCUAUUGAACAAGAUGCUAGCCAGGAGGCCUUCCUAUUGAAAUCAAUUCGGGGCUAAAUGGCUUCUUUUCUAUACUUCUUCCAAGCUUAUUCUUCUUCCAUGUCAGGGAAUAAAAAAGCUUUCAUGUGCUGCGAGUGUCUGGAUGUUUUCAACAGCUUGGAGAUGAGAGUAAAAAGCACUUCAGCGCUGGCAGCCGCA